GUCAGAAUAGCUCAGUUGGUCAGAGCGUUCGCUUCAUACGCGAAAUGUCAAGUGUUCGAAUCACUUUUCUGACACCA
rnacentral:tRNA from 1 species